rnacentral:lncRNA from 1 species
UCCUCCUUAAAAUAUCAUGCAAAUAAAUGCAGUCUGCCAAGAGGUUAACUAUUUUGCAUGGUUCCUUAACACAACAAGCAAAUCCUUUUUAAUCUUUCCACCAUCAAGCUAGUUCAACUAUGUUGUAUGGUGCCAUAAGAUGGUGAUGAAAAUGUGUGUACACAUCCUAAAAGUCUAUAUAUGUUUCACAGAAAGAUAUUUCCUCUUGUUUUGCCAAAGAUAUUCCCCGCUAUACGUACUCUAGUUUCGUGACGCUUUUGUUCUCGUACAGUACAUUCUUAACCUUUUAAAGAAAAUCUUAAUUGUCAAUGGUCAUUGUGCUUUAGUUUCUGAGAUAAGUUACCUGUAAGAUUUUAUUCAUAUUUUGUCCCAUUUAAAUGCUAAUUAAUUGUGAACUCAAACAG